AGUAAUUCUAGAGCUAAUACAUGCGUCAAACCCCGACUUCUGGGAGGGGUGUAUUUAUUAGAUGGAAACCAAUGCGGGGCAACCCGGUAUAUGGUGAUUCAUAAUAACUUUCGGAUCGAUCUUCGGAUCGAUGCAUCAUUCAAGUUUCUGCCCUAUCAGCUUUGGAUGGUAGGGUAUUGGCCUACCAUGGCUUUAACGGGUAACGGAGAAUUAGGGUUCGAUUCC
rnacentral:rRNA from 12 species